rnacentral:rRNA from 1 species
AUGAAUCUCCUGAGUUGGAACUGCCGGGGAGGGGGGAACUCCCGGACAGUUCGUGAUUUAGCGACUAUGGUUCAGUCGCAUUCCCCCACCAUGGUGUUUCUAUGUGAAACUAGGCAAUCAAAAAAUCGUAUGAAAAGAUAUCGAGCUCGUUUGGGGCUUCAAGGUUUUGAUGCAGUAGACAGUAUUGGUAAUAGUGGUGGCUUGGCACUGUUUUGGCACGAA